UGUUGGCUCGAAACGACUAUCAAAUCAGUUGGCCAAGACACUCCAUUUUAUAUCAGUUGUUUACCUCUUAUCAUAUUUUUACUAUUGGUCAUUUUCGAACAGCCAAUUGAUAAACGCUCUAGAUUAAGUCCCCUCUGCGAUCUGUUAGUAACUAAUUUGGGCAAGAGAUAAGAAACUACUAUUCAGACAGUUAGUCAUCUUUAUGGGGGACUUUUCUUUCUUUGACAACGUUGAUAAUUCCAAGGUAAACCCCAUAUUAUUUUUGGGUAUAACGAAGUUUUGCUGUAUGAAAUGAAAGAUAUAUUGAGGCACUCAAUUAAACUCCUUGCACAGGAUAUAAAGCUCCUUUCAAGGUUUAAGGGACGUUAUAUUGAUCAUACCGCCUAAUCUUAUAAGGAAGUGCGAUUUAAAUCUUUAAGCAAGUGGCAUAAAAUAUGAUGAUAUUCAAAAUAAAUUUGAAAAGGGCUUGUCAUGAUAAACAAAGCAGUACAAGGUGGCUUACAAAAUGUUAGCCCAUAUUUAUUAUUUGAAAUUGACCAGUAAAAUAAUGAGUUAUCAACAAUUUGGAAGAAAAACCUAAGACUUCUAUAACGUGCACUAUGGCGCCACGAGUUUAUUAGUAGCAAAUUACCCGGCUGGUAUAAAUCACUUUUUAUCGAGAACUCUAAAUAUACGAGAAGCUUAAUAUAAGCAAUCACAUUUCUCCGUAGAGAUCGGACUGCUGAUUUUGCCAGGAAAUAGAAUUGAAUACAUUGCAGACUCGGGAAAACUUCGUUCGUAGUGUUAAACAAAUAUUUACGAAGAAUCCAUUGCCCAUUUCCGGUUUCUAGGCAGUUGGAUGCACUUUGGACAAGUGUCAAAAGGUGUCACCUAAGGGCCUGUCGGCUACCAAAGUUGCACCGCCGGCGGAAAGAAACUACUAUGGAGAGGUGACAACUCGAAUGACAGCAGAAAUAAGAGCCACCUACAAAGUGUACACAAAUACCCUACUCCCCCACUCCCACUGGCUUCUACUACCAUAUCUCGUGCCCCCAACAUAUGCCACACCAUUAUUCCAAACAACAAACAAACAAACAAACAAAUGAACAAAUAUUUGCCACAAAGAGCGAGGAAGACAAACCCACAAGGAAGACGACUGGGAGCCUGAAGAACGAUAAAAUGGCAUUUAUGAUAAAUACAUAAUACUCGAUGUUUACCCACUCAUUCAGUAACGCAUAUAGAACACUGGGAAAAAAGUAUAUCAUGUUAAUUUGGAUUCAAAAUAUUACGUUGUUUAAGCAGUUGUUUUAAUAGUAAAAGUAAUCCUAAUUUGGAA